UUAAGCGACUAAGCGUACACGGUGGAUGCCCUGGCAGUCAGAGGCGAUGAAGGACGUGCUAAUCUGCGAUAAGCGUCGGUAAGGUGAUAUGAACCGUUAUAACCGGCGAUUUCCGAAUGGGGAAACCCAGUGUGUUUCGACACACUAUCAUUAACUGAAUCCAUAGGUUAAUGAGGCGAACCGGGGGAACUGAAACAUCUAAGUACCCCGAGGAAAAGAAAUCAACCGAGAUUCCCCCAGUAGCGGCGAGCGAACGGGGAGGAGCCCAGAGCCUGAAUCAGUGUGUGUGUUAGUGGAAGCGUCUGGAAAGGCGCGCGAUACAGGGUGACAGCCCCGUACACAAAAAUGCACAUGCUGUGAGCUCGAUGAGUAGGGCGGGACACGUGGUAUCCUGUCUGAAUAUGGGGGGACCAUCCUCCAAGGCUAAAUACUCCUGACUGACCGAUAGUGAACCAGUACCGUGAGGGAAAGGCGAAAAGAACCCCGGCGAGGGGAGUGAAAAAGAACCUGAAACCGUGUACGUACAAGCAGUGGGAGCCUCUUUUAUGGGGUGACUGCGUACCUUUUGUAUAAUGGGUCAGCGACUUAUAUUCUGUAGCAAGGUUAACCGAAUAGGGGAGCCGAAGGGAAACCGAGUCUUAACUGGGCGUUAAGUUGCAGGGUAUAGACCCGAAACCCGGUGAUCUAGCCAUGGGCAGGUUGAAGGUUGGGUAACACUAACUGGAGGACCGAACCGACUAAUGUUGAAAAAUUAGCGGAUGACUUGUGGCUGGGGGUGAAAGGCCAAUCAAACCGGGAGAUAGCUGGUUCUCCCCGAAAGCUAUUUAGGUAGCGCCUCGUGAAUUCAUCUCCGGGGGUAGAGCACUGUUUCGGCAAGGGGGUCAUCCCGACUUACCAACCCGAUGCAAACUGCGAAUACCGGAGAAUGUUAUCACGGGAGACACACGGCGGGUGCUAACGUCCGUCGUGAAGAGGGAAACAACCCAGACCGCCAGCUAAGGUCCCAAAGUCAUGGUUAAGUGGGAAACGAUGUGGGAAGGCCCAGACAGCCAGGAUGUUGGCUUAGAAGCAGCCAUCAUUUAAAGAAAGCGUAAUAGCUCACUGGUCGAGUCGGCCUGCGCGGAAGAUGUAACGGGGCUAAACCAUGCACCGAAGCUGCGGCAGCGACGCUUAUGCGUUGUUGGGUAGGGGAGCGUUCUGUAAGCCUGUGAAGGUGUACUGUGAGGUAUGCUGGAGGUAUCAGAAGUGCGAAUGCUGACAUAAGUAACGAUAAAGCGGGUGAAAAGCCCGCUCGCCGGAAGACCAAGGGUUCCUGUCCAACGUUAAUCGGGGCAGGGUGAGUCGACCCCUAAGGCGAGGCCGAAAGGCGUAGUCGAUGGGAAACAGGU
rnacentral:rRNA from 1 species